CAGGGCUGUAGUUUAACAAAAUAUUAGCAUUGGAAGCUAAAGAUCAGGUAUUAAUCCUGCGUCCUGA
rnacentral:tRNA from 1 species